rnacentral:rRNA from 1 species
UGGGGAAUAUUGCACAAUGGGCGAAAGCCUGAUGCAGCAACGCCGCGUGAGUGAUGAAGGUCUUCGGAUUGUAAAGCUCUGUCUUUUGGGACGAUAAUGACGGUACCAAAGGAGGAAGCCACGGCUAACUACGUGCCAGCAGCCGCGGUAAUACGUAGGUGGCGAGCGUUGUCCGGAUUUACUGGGCGUAAAGGGUGCGUAGGCGGAUGUUUAAGUGAGAUGUGAAAUACCCGGGCUUAACUUGGGUGCUGCAUUUCAAACUGGAUAUCUAGAGUGCAGGAGNGGAGAAUGGAAUUCCUAGUGUAGCGGUGAAAUGCGUAGAGAUUAGGAAGAACACCAGUGGCGAAGGCAUUCUCUGGACUGUAACUGACGCUGAGGCACGAAAGCGUGGGUAGCAACAGGAUUAGAUACCCUGGUAGUCACGCCGUAAACGAUGAGUACUAGGUNUAGGGGUAUCGACCCCUUCUGUGCCGCAGUAAACACAUUAAGUNCUCCGCCUGGGAAGUACGAUCGCAA